UACGUAGGUCUCAAGCGUUGUUCGGAUUCAUUGGGCGUAAAGGGUGUGUAGGUGGCGCCGUAAGUCGGGUGUGAAAUUUCGGAGCUUAACUCCGAAACUGCAUUCGAUACUGCGGUGCUUGAGGACUGGAGAGGAGACUGGAAUUCAUGGUGUAGCAGUGAAAUGCGUAGAGAUCAUGAGGAAGACCAGUGGCGAAGGCGGGUCUCUGGACAGUUCCUGACACUGAGACACGAAGGCCAGGGGAGCAAACAGG
rnacentral:rRNA from 1 species